rnacentral:rRNA from 1 species
AUGGGUGAUAGCGUGCCUUUUGUAGAAUGAACCGGCGAGUUACGAUUACGUGCGAGGUUAAGCUUUAGAAGGCGGAGCCGCAGCGAAAGCGAGUCUGAAUAGGGCGAAAUAGUACGUGGUCGUAGACCCGAAACCAGGUGAUCUACCCAUGUCCAGGGUGAAGGUAAGGUAACACUUACUGGAGGCCCGAACCCACGCACGUUGAAAAGUGCGGGGAUGAGGUGUGGGUAGCGGAGAAAUUCCAAUCGAACUUGGAGAUAGCUGGUUCUCUCCGAAAUAGCUUUAGGGCU